rnacentral:lncRNA from 1 species
GUGUUCCACCUGUGCUGGUUGCCAUCACGUUAGUGGGAAGGUUUUUUGCCUGCCCAGGUGCUCUUUAAGAGUAGCUGGCCCAGUCCUCUUGAGAGAUGUAGAGGGACCCUCCCUAUCUGAUUUCUAGAAAAAUAUUCCUUUGUCUGAUUUAGUUUUGUGCCACCUUUUUGGCAUUGAAAUAACCUGGUGGAGCUUGUGACCUCCUGUGGGAACUACAGCCAGUACCGCCAGCGUAUCUCAGAGAGCACGGGCUUUCGCUUCCCCAUCCUGGGAGUGCACCUCAAGGACCUGAUAGCAGUGCACGUGACCCUGCCCGACUGAAGCGACUGCGAGAAGACCCAGGUCAACCUGGCCAAGACCCAUCAGCUGUAUUCAAUCCUCCAGGAGCUAGCGCUGAUCCAGACCACACCACCCAGUGUUGAUGCCACCAUGGACCUGCUCAACCUGCUCAUGUAUCUCUGGACCAGUACCAUUCAGAGGAAGAGAUCUAUCAGCUGUCCCUGCAGAGGGAGCCACUCACCGCCAGGCGAGUGUUUAACAAUUCCACCACUGAUGAAGACGGCUACAUCUCUCAGGAGGAAAUUGAGAUCAUUAGGACCAACUUCCCAUACCUCUGCAAGUUUGAUGACCUGGACAAGAGUCAGGAUGGUAGAAUCAGUGAGGAGACGAUCAACUACAUCACCAAGGCCAGCUCUUUACUGAACAGCAAGAUGGGCGAGGGGGGGUUCAUCCACACGUUUUCAGAGAUGACCUGCACGAAGUCUACACUUUGCCAUCACUGUAAAGGCGUUGUAAGAAUGCCUACGCUUCAACUAU